rnacentral:rRNA from 1 species
AGAGUUUGAUCCUGGCUCAGGAUGAACGCUGGCGGCGUGCCUAACACAUGCAAGUCGAACGAAGCUUGACGGAUGAUUUCUUCGGAAUGAAACCUGAUAUGACUUAGUGGCGGACGGGUGAGUAACACGUGAGCAACCUGCCUUUCAGAGGGGGAUAACGGCUGGAAACGGUCGCUAAUACCGCAUGAUGUGUUCGGAUGGCAUCAUCUGAACAUCAAAGAUUUAUCGCUGAAAGAUGGGCUCGCGUCUGAUUAGAUAGUUGGUGGGGUAACGGCCUACCAAGUCUACGAUCAGUAGCCGGACUGAGAGGUUGAACGGCCACAUUGGGACUGAGAUACGGCCCAGACUCCUACGGGAGGCAGCAGUGGGGAAUAUUGCACAAUGGGGGAAACCCUGAUGCAGCAACGCCGCGUGAAGGAUGACGGUUUUCGGAUUGUAAACUUCUUUUCUUAGUGACGAAGACAGUGACGGUAGCUAAGGAAUAAGCAUCGGCUAACUACGUGCCAGCAGCCGCGGUAAUACGUAGGAUGCAAGCGUUAUCCGGAUUUACUGGGUGUAAAGGGAGCGCAGGCGGGACUGCAAGUUGGAUGUGAAAUACCGUGGCUUAACCACGGAACUGCAUCCAAAACUGUAGUUCUUGAGUGAAGUAGAGGCAAGCGGAAUUCCGAGUGUAGCGGUGAAAUGCGUAGAUAUUCGGAGGAACACCAGUGGCGAAGGCGGCUUGCUGGGCUUUAACUGACGCUGAGGCUCGAAAGUGUGGGGAGCAAACAGGAUUAGAUACCCUGGUAGUCCACACUGUAAACGAUGAUAGCUAGGUGUGGGGGGUCUGACCCCUUCCGUGCCGGAGUUAACGCAAUAAGCUAUCCACCUGGGGAGUACGACCGCAAGGUUGAAACUCAAAGGAAUUGACGGGGGCCCGCACAAGCAGUGGAUUAUGUGGUUUAAUUCGAAGCAACGCGAAGAACCUUACCAGGUCUUGACAUCCGACUAACGAGAUAGAGAUAUGUCAGGUGCCCUUCGGGGAAAGUCGAGACAGGUGGUGCAUGGUUGUCGUCAGCUCGUGUCGUGAGAUGUUGGGUUAAGUCCCGCAACGAGCGCAACCCCUGUUGCCAGUUACCAGCACGUAAAGGUGGGGACUCUGGUAAGACUGCCGGGGACAACUCGGAGGAAGGUGGGGACGACGUCAAAUCAUCAUGCCCCUUAUGACCUGGGCUACACACGUACUACAAUGGAUGUUAACAGAGGGAAGCAAGACAGUGAUGUGGAGCAAACCCCUAAAAACAUUCUCAGUUCAGAUUGCAGGCUGCAACCCGCCUGCAUGAAGAUGGAAUUGCUAGUAAUCGCGGAUCAGCAUGCCGCGGUGAAUACGUUCCCGGGCCUUGUACACACCGCCCGUCACACCAUGGGAGUUUGUAACACCCGAAGUCAGUGACCCAACCGCAAGGAGGGAGCUGCCGAAGGUGGGAUAAGCGACUGGGGUGAAGUCGUAACAAGGUAGCCGUAGGAGAACCUGCGGCUG